GACGAACCGAGCGAACGUUGUUCGGAAUCACUGGGCUUAAAGGGCGCGUAGGCGGCUUAACAAGUCACUUGUGAAAUCUCCGGGCUUAACUCGGAACGGCCAAGUGAAACUGUCAAGCUAGAGUGCAGAAGGGGCAAUCGGAAUUCUUGGUGUAGCGGUGAAAUGCGUAGAUAUCAAGAGGAACACCUGAGGUGAAGACGGGUUGCUGGGCUGACACUGACGCUGAGGCGCGAAAGCCAGGGGAGCAAACGGG
rnacentral:rRNA from 1 species